GCCUUGCCGGAAUUGGAUAGCACCAGAUUCGACCUUGGCGUUGACGCCGGUGACGGAGCCGGAGAAGGAAAUGAUGAUAAUUCUGAAAGACAAACCUUUCCCAAACCCUUCUCCAGAUCCCUCUCAACUCCUUCUUCGAUUCCGGAACCCAUGUGGAGAAGCAAAAACGAUCUCUAUCAAAUCAUUCUAAUGGAUAGAUAGCAGGAAAGAGUUACAGGAGAAUGUAGGUUUGAAAGAGAGAGAGAGAGAGAGAGGAGUGG
rnacentral:misc_RNA from 1 species